rnacentral:rRNA from 1 species
GCGUGAGUGAUGAAGGCCUUCGGGUUGUAAAACUCUUUCGGCGGGGACGAUAAUGACGGUACCCGCAGAAGAAGCUCCGGCUAACUUCGUGCCAGCAGCCGCGGUAAUACGAAGGGGGCUAGCGUUGUUCGGAAUUACUGGGCGUAAAGCGUGCGCAGGCGGCCAUCCAAGUCAGUGGUGAAAGCCCGGAGCUCAACUCCGGAAUUGCCAUUGAAACUGUUCGGCUCGAGUACGAGAGAGGUGAGUGGAAUUCCCAGUGUAGAGGUGAAAUUCGU